rnacentral:rRNA from 1 species
AGCAGCCGCGGUAAUUCCAGCUCCAAUAGCGUAUAUUAAAGUUGUUGCAGUUAAAAAGCUCGUAGUUGAAUUUCGGGAUCAGUAGGUCGGUCAUGCCUCAGGUAUGUACUGGUCUCACUGGUUCCUCCUUCCUGAUGAACCGUAAUGCCAUUAAUUUGGUGUUGCGGGGAAACUGGACUGUUACUUUGAAAAAUUAGAGUGUUUAAAGCAGGCUAACGCUUGAAUACAUUAGCAUGGAAUAAUGAAAUAGGACGUUCGAUCCUAUUUUGUUGGUUUCUAGGAUUGACGUAAUGAUUAAUAGGGAUAGUUGGGGGCAUUAGUAUUCAAUUGUCAGAGGUGAAAUUCUUGGAUUUAUUGAAGACUAACUACUGCGAAAGCAUUUGCCAAGGAUGUUUUCAUUAAUCAAGAACGAAAGUUAGGGGAUCGAAGACGAUCAGAUACCGUCGUAGUCUUAACCAUAAACUAUGC